AGUGAACGCUGGCGGUAGGCCUAACACAUGCAAGUCGAACGGCAGCACAGUAAUAGCUUGCUCUUACGGGUGGCGAGUAGCGGCCAGGUGAGGAAUACAUCGGAAUCUACUUUUUCGUGAGGGAUAACUUAGGGAAACUUACGCUAAUACCGCCUACGACCUACGGGUGAAAGCAGGGGAUCUUCGGACCCUGCGCGAUUGAAUGAGCCGAUGUCGGAUUAGCUAGUCGGCGGGGUAAAGGCCCACCAAGGCGACGAUCCGUAGCUGGUCUGAGAGGAUGAUCAGCCACACUGGAACUGAGACACGGUCCAGACUCCUACGGGAGGCAGCAGUGGGGAAUAUGGGACAUUGGGCGCAAGCCUGAUCCAGCCAUACCGCGUGGGUGAAGAAGGCCUUCGGGUUGUAAAGCCCUUUUGUUGGGAAAGAAAAGCAGCAGGUUAAUACCCCGCUGUUCUGACGGUACCCAAAGAAUAAGCACCGGCUAACUUCGUG
rnacentral:rRNA from 1 species